GACAACUAUGAUGCGUAGGAACCGGUACUUUCGGCUUUGCAGAGAGGAGAGAAGCCGGAAGUGAAAUGAUGAAGGGUCAGAGAUUCAGGAGGAAUAGAAUUUGGAGGGAACGCAACCAUUUGACAAGUACUAAUUGAGCACUGUUCUAGGCACAGAGGAUAAAGUCACAGACAAGCGAAAGCCCUCGUGGAAUUUGCACACUAAUGGAGUGGGAGAGGGGAGAGAAACAAGUGACAAAAAUUGCAGGUAGUGGUAAGGGGUGUGAGAAAAAUAAAGCAGGGAAUGGAGUGAUAUUAUAAGCUGGCCAAAUACUGACUCUCAGAGGAGACCUUUGUGCCAUCCAUCCAUGAUAUGAAGGAAUGAAACUAGGAAAUUCAGGGAUAGAGAAGAGGAACAGCUUUUCCAGGCUGAAAGAAAAUCAGCCAUAAACCCAGAGAUGAGGAUGCUCCUGCCAUGUUGAGGAACGGCAAAAGGCCAGUAUAGCUGAGCAUUGUCAGCCUGCCAGAGAGCAGAAAUAGUUAGGCUCAAAAAGGUGGGCAAGUGGCCAGAUCCUGUGGAGCCCAUGGGUCAUCAUAAGAGCAACAGGAAGCCCUGAGAAGAGGUGCUGGAAAUUGAACUUAAGACCCUGAGCAUGCCAGGGACUUACAGCUAAGAGUUUACCUUGGAUCUCAGAGAAUACUUUGGACUUGGACUUUUGAGCAAUGAUGGAAAUGUUAACACUCCUGUGACUCUUGGAAGUGGACUAAAUGCAUUUUGCAUUGUGAGGACACAAGCCUUUGGAGGUCAUUGGAGGAAUGUAAUAGUUUUUAUCUAUAAUGUUUCCCAAAUUCUCAUGUUGAAAGGCUUGGUUGCCAGUCCAUGGUACUAUUAGGAGAUGAUAGAAAUUUUAGGAGGUGAAACCUAGUGGAAGAAAGUGAGAUCUCUGGGUGCACGUCCUUGAAGGGGAUAUGGGACCCUGCUCCCUCCAUUUCUCUUUGCUUCUUGGUCACUAUGGUGUGAGAAGCUUUGCUCUACCAUCACAUUCUGCUUUGCCAUAGAAGACAAGUGUCCACGAACUAAAACCUCUGAAAUGUGAGUCAAAAUAAAUCUUUCCUUUUUACAAGUUGAUCAUCUCAGGAAUUUUGUCACAGUCAUGGAAACCUGUCUGCACAUUAAGAGAUUAACAAUGAUAAUUAAUAACAAAACAACAAUUAU